ACCCUCCAGAUCCCUUGCCGCUCGGAUCUAAGCAGUGGUCUCAGUGGCUAUAAAGGGAGGAAAAGUAAAACUGAAGCAGACUUGGAUUUGUUUAGGGGCAUACAAGUUCAUUUAAAACAACA
rnacentral:snoRNA from 1 species